UCUUAGCCUGCUAAGACUGAUGGCGACCGGCGCACGGGUGCGUAACGCGUAUGCAACUUGCCUCACAGAGGGGGAUAACCCGUCGAAAGACGGACUAAUACCGCGUACACUCUAUGUUGGGCAUCCAAUGUAGAGGAAAUGAAAUUCGCUGUGAGAUAGGCAUGCGUCCCAUUAGCUAGUUGGUGAGGUAACGGCUCACCAAGGCGACGAUGGGUAGGGGAACUGAGAGGUUGAACCCCCACACUGGUACUGAGACACGGACCAGACUCCUACGGGAGGCAGCAGUGAGGAAUAUUGGUCAAUGGGCGAGAGCCUGAACCAGCCAAGUCGCGUGAAGGAUGACUGUCUUAUGGAUUGUAAACUUCUUUUAUACGGGAAUAACAAGAGUCACGUGUGGCUCCCUGCAUGUACCGUAUGAAUAAGCAUCGGCUAACUCCGUGCCAGCAGCCGCGGUAAUACGGAGGAUGCGAGCGUUAUCCGGAUUUAUUGGGUUUAAAGGGUGCGUAGGCGGCCUGUUAAGUCAGCGGUGAAAUCUAGGAGCUUAACUCCUAAAUUGCCAUUGAUACUGGCGGGCUUGAGUGUAGAUGAGGUAGGCGGAAUGCGUGGUGUAGCGGUGGAAUGCAUAGAUAUCACGCAGAACUCCGAUUGCGAAGGCAGCUUACUAAGGUACAACUGACGCUGAAGCACGAAAGCGUGGGUAUCAAACAGGAUUAGAUACCCUGGUAGUCCACGCAGUAAACGAUGAUAACUGGGCGUAUGCGAUAUACAGU
rnacentral:rRNA from 1 species